AUGACCAUGGUUGAAAUGCAAGAAGCGUUUAGGAGAAAUAUUAUUCUGUCAUUUUCAGAAGAAAGAGCUGCCUUCUUUUUUUUAGUUAAUGAAAUAAAUACUUGCUGUAUCAAAUGUCUGGAUGUUCCAGCCAAGGAAUCUCCAUUGAGGUGCUCAUUAGACUCUAUUUUGGACUUUUCUAUGAAGCAGUACAUCUUCUCUUUGAAGGAAUUGUUUACUUGCUUUCCUGCCGGUUGCUUGUGUUAUACGAUAUCUUAUUGUUCCAGUUUUGACUUGCUUGUGUAUUCUUUGUUCUUCAAUCGUGAUCCAUACACUGUACUUUUCUAG
rnacentral:rRNA from 1 species